rnacentral:rRNA from 1 species
UACGUAGGGGGCAAGCGUUGUCCGGAUUUAUUGGGGGUAAAGAGCGUGUAGGCGGCCUGAAAGGUCGGCUGUGAAAACUCGAGGCUCAACCUCGAGACGUCGGUUGAAACCAUCUGGCUAGAGUCCGGAAGAGGAGUGUGGAAUUCCCGGUGUAGCGGUGAAAUGCGCAGAUAUCGGGAAGAACACCCGUGGCGAAGGCGGCACUCUGGGACGGUACUGACGCUGAGACGCGAAAGCGUGGGGAGCGAACAGG